rnacentral:rRNA from 1 species
GAUAAACGCUGGCGGCGUGCCUAAUACAUGCAAGUCGAUCGAUGGAUGCCCAGCUUGCUGGGAGGAAAUAGAGGCGAACGGGUGAGUAAUACGUAAGCAACCUGCCCACGAAGACCGGGAUAAUCCCUGGAAACGGGGACUAAGACCGGAUAGGUAACAGAACCGCAUGAUUUUGUUAUUAAAGGUUAAAAACACUGGUGGAUGGGCUUACGGUGCAUUAGCUUGUUGGUGUGGUAACGGCCCACCAAGGCGAUGAUGCAUAGCUGGUCUGAGAGGAUGAACAGCCACAUUGGGACUGAGACACGGCCCAGACUCCUACGGGAGGCAGCAGUAGGGAAUUUUCGGCAAUGGGGGAAACCCUGACCGAGCAACGCCGCGUGAGUGAAGAAGGUUUUCGGAUUGUAAAGCUCUGUUGUAAGGAAAGAAAUGUACUGUGAGAAACAGUACUUGACGUACCUUACCAGAAAGCUACGGCUAAAU